GCAGACACAUUCCAGCCAAUCAGCAGCAGACCCUCCCUCCCAGACCCUCCACCUCCUGGACAGCUCACUAAGAAUGCAGCUUCAAAAUGGGAUGCUGUCCAAGAGGUGGGAGGGUCUGGGAGGGAGGGUCUGCUGCUGAUUGGCUGGAAUGUGUCUG